rnacentral:sRNA from 1 species
ACUCAACACGAAUUCUUUAAAGAGGGUAAGUCUAUGUUGUAAAAGCGUGCCGUGUCCCUUUACCGGGAGAGCGGAUUCUUGAUCAGCUUGUUAGCCCUAAACUUGAUUUUAAGGAGUUU